rnacentral:ncRNA from 1 species
UCCUGACAGACGCAUUGGGCGGCUGACACUAGCCACGACAGGAGAAUGAAAUG